CAGACACACAGGAUAUUAAACCUGUUUCAAGCCCUUUGAACCUGUCACUGUUUGUCCUCCGUCACUAACAGACAAGUUCUUACAACUCUCC